rnacentral:tRNA from 1 species
GUCGUUGUAGUAUAGUGGUAAUUAUUCCCGCAUGUCACGCGGGUGACCCGGGUUCGAUCCCCAGCAACGGGG